rnacentral:rRNA from 1 species
AUACGGAGGGUGCAAGCGUUACUCGGAAUCACGGGGCGUAAAGCGCGCGCAGGCGGCUUGAUAAGUUGGAUGUGAAAACCUACGGCUCAACUGUAGAACUGCAUCCAAAACUGUCAGGCUAGAGUGUGGGAGAGGAAGAUGGAAUUAGUUGUGUAGGGGUAAAAUCCGUAGAGAUAACUAGGAAUACCAAAAGCGAAGGCAAUCUUCUGGAACACUACUGACGCUGAGGCGCGAAGGCGUGGGGAGCAAACAGGAUUAGAUACCCUAGUAGUCC